CUCACAUGAAGAGAGUGAAGUGAGGAGUUUGCUGCAGUGUCUGCCUUAUAUCUCACAGCUCAGAGUUGAUGCUGAGACAUCAGAUGAAGACAGAACGAAGAUCUUUGUGAGUCUGUUCUGUGCAGCAGCAGAGAGAGAGCAGCAGACAGGAGAGAAGAUCCUGGAGCUGUUAGCAUCAGUGUGCAGAUACAGAAACAGUCCUCUUAAAGAGAAAUGGUGUGACUUCCUCCUGGACCUGUACUCUUAUGAGACUAAAACAGGUCUGAGUGUCCUUCCAUCAUUACAGUCAGUUUUCCAGUCAGCUCCUGCAGUCUGGUCCAUAAAGCUCUCAGAGAGAAAGACCUCCAUCCUCCUGGAGGUGCUGAAACUCCAACCAGAGAAGAAA